UACGUAGGGGGCUAGCGUUGUCCGGAAUUAUUGGGCGUAAAGAGCUUGUAGGCGGUUUGUCGCGUCUGCUGUGAAAUUUCGGGGCUCAACCCCGAACUUGCAGUGGGUACGGGCAGACUAGAGUGUGGUAGGGGAGACUGGAAUUCCUGGUGUAGCGGUGAAAUGCGCAGAUAUCAGGAGGAACACCGGUGGCGAAGGCGGUUCUCUGGGCCUUACCUGACACUGAGGAGCGAAAGCGUGGGGAGCGAACAGG
rnacentral:rRNA from 1 species